rnacentral:lncRNA from 1 species
GCCCAACUUGCUAUGCUGUCUGCUGAUGUCGUCAGAAUUUUUGCAGUCGGACUGACCUGUCACCCCUCACCGCCUCACCGGUAAGCGGUAGUUUUAAUUUUAGGAAUUAAUUCUACCUUCUGCCUUGUGGUGGAGAAGACGAUUAAAACGGAAUAAAAAGAAUAUAUGGAGAAAGGCGGUUCGUUUUCCUGUGCCAAUUUUUUUCCCUUAACAGACGAGGCCUCCUACAAUUUGAGGCCAAAGGCAGUGGCCUCACUUACCUUGGGCCAGGGCCGACACUGACUGUGGGUAGUUUACGUUGUAGGUGGUUUGUUGGUAGUUGUUUGGAGGUGGUUUUCUGAUCCAAUGUGUUGCUUGGCCAAAGUGUUAGAGUGGUUGUUGAUGUUUUUCAUGGUGAGGUGGUGGUAUAUUGGCAACGAUGGUGCAAGUGGUAGUGCUGGUCGUGGUGGUAAGGUGGUGUUCGAUUAGUGACA